rnacentral:rRNA from 1 species
ACAGAGGUGCCGAGCGUUAGGCGGAAUCACUGGGCUUAAAGCGUGUGUAGGCGGAUUUGUAAGUACCUUGUGAAAUCCCACGGCUCAACCGUGGAACUGCUUGGUAUACUGCUUAUCUUGGGCCACUUAGGGGUUACCGGAACAAACGGUGGAGCGGUGAAAUGCGUAGAUAUCGUUUGGAACGCCAAUGGUGAAAACAGGUAACUGGGAGUGUGCCGACGCUGAGACACGAAAGCCAGGGGAGCGAACGGGA